CUACGGGUGGCUGCAGUGGGGAAUAUUGCACAAUGAGCGAAAGCCUGAUGCAGCAACGCCGCGUGAAUGAUGAAGGCCUUCGGGUCGUAAAGUUCUGUCCUAUGGGAAGAAAAAAAUGACGGUACCAUAGGAGGAAGCCCCGGCUAACUACGUGCCAGCAGCCGCGGUAAUACGUAGGGGGCAAGCGUUAUCCGGAAUCAUUGGGCGUAAAGGGUGCGUAGGCGGCUGAGCAAGCCAGAGGUAAAAGGCAAUAGCUUAACUAUUGUAAGCCUUUGGAACUGCUUAGCUUGAGUGCAGGAGAGGAAAGUGGAAUUCCUAGUGUAGCGGUGAAAUGCGUAGAUAUUAGGAGGAACACCAGUGGCGAAGGCGACUUUCUGGGCUGUAACUGACGCUGAGGCACGAAAGCGUGGGGAGCGAACAGGAUUAGAUACCCGCGUAGUC
rnacentral:rRNA from 1 species